rnacentral:lncRNA from 1 species
AUGAACAAUGCUAGUGGAGGUGAUGGAAUUCCAGUUGAGCUAUUUCAAAUACUUAAAGAUGAUGCUGUCAAAGUGCUACACUCAGUAUGCCAGCAAAUUUGGAAAACUCAGCAAUGGCCACAGGACUGGAAAAGGUCAGGUUUCAUUCCAAUCCCAAAGAAAGGCAAUGCCAAAGAAUGCUCAAACUACUGCACAAUUGCACUCAUCUCACAUGCUGGUAAAGUAAUGCUCAAAAUUCUCCAAGCCAGGCUUCAGCAAUAUGUGAACCGUGAACUUCCUGAUGUUCAAGCUGGUUUUAGAAAAGGCAGAGGAACCAGAGAUCAAACUGCCAAUGUCCACUGGAUCAUGGAAAAAGCAAGAGAGCUCCAGAAAAACGUCUAUUUCUGCUUUCUUGACUAUGCCAAAGCUUUUGACUGUGUGGAUCACAGUAAACUGUGGAAAAUUCUGAAAGAGAUGGGAAUACCAGACCACCUGACCUGCCCCUUGAGAAAUCUGUAUGCAGGCCAGGAAGCAACAGUUAGAAUUGGACAUGGAACAAUGGACUGGUUCCAAAUAGGAAAAGGAGUAGGUCAAGGCUGUAUAUUGUCACUAUGCUUAUUUAACUUAUAUGCAGAGUACAUCAUGAGAAACUCUGGACUAGAAGAAGCACAAGCUGGAAUCAAGAUUGCUGGGAGAAAUAUCAAUAACCUCAGAUAUGCAGAUGACACCACCCUCAUGGCAGAAAGUGAAGAGGAGCUAAAAAGCCUCUUGAGGAAAGUGAAAGAGGAGAGUGAAAAAGUUGGCUUAAAGCUCAACAUUCAGAAAACGAAGAUAAUGGCAUCCAGUCCCAUCACUCCAUGGGAAAUAGAUGGAAAAACAGUGGAAACAGUGUCAGACUUUAUUUUUGGGGGCUCCAAAAUCACUGCAGAUUGUGACUGCAGCCAUGAAAUUAAAAGACGCUUACUCCUUGGAAGAAAAGUUAUGGCCAACCUAGAUAGCAUAUUGAAAAGCAGAGAUAUUACUUUGCCGACUAAGGUCCGUCUAUUCAAGGCUAUGGUUUUUCCUGUGGUCAUGUGUAGAUGUGAAUGUUGGACUGUGAAGAAGGCUGAGCACCAAAGAAUUGAUGCUUUUGAACUGUGGUGUUGGAGAAGACUCUUGAGAGUCCCUUGGACUGCAAGGAGAUCCAACCAGUCCAUUCUGAAGGAGAUCAACCCUGGGAUUUCUUUGGAAGGAAUGAUGCUAAAGCUGAAACUUCAGUACUUCGGCCACCUCAUAUGA